AUCGAACGCUAGCGGGAUGCUUUACACAUGCAAGUCGAACGAGUGGCGGACGGGUGAGUAAUAUAUUGGCCCGUGCCCAGCAGCGGGGGAUAACUACUCGAACGAGUGGCUAAUACUGCAUCCUAUUGGAGCGGCUGAUAUCGGAUUAGCUAGUUGGUGGGGUCAAGGCUCACCAAGGCGACGAUCCGUAGCUGAGUGGAGAGGACGACCAGCCACACUGGGACUGAGACACGGCCCAGACUCCUACGGGAGGCAGCAGUGGGGAAUUUUGGACAAGGGGGGAAACCCUGAUCCAGCCAUCCCGCGUGUAUGAGAAGGCCUUGGGGUUGUAAAGUACUGUUGGCAGAGAAGCGGUAUCUGCAGAAUAAGCACCGGCUAACUACGUGCCAGCAGCCGCGGUAAUUC
rnacentral:rRNA from 1 species